rnacentral:misc_RNA from 1 species
UUUUAAGUUAGAUGAGAUCACUGGAAUAAAUAGAUAUAGAUAAAUAGAUAAAGAUACAAACAAUGCACAUCUUCAUAAAAAAUUGCCAUGAAGAGCUAGGAAUCUAAAAGCUGAUUGCACUCAACUUCCACAACAUACCAUCAAUAUUUGGUGACACUUAUUUCCAUGGAAAACAAACAUUUAUAAAGUUAAUCUGAGCCAUUUGGGAAUGUGUAUAACUGGAGACCAUUGGAGACAUUUGUCACACGAAUCAGCUGAGAGAGCACUCUAAAUAUAACGCUGAGUAAUAAAAACUAUCACUUGAACUAGAUUACAACAAGCUAAUUGGCUGUUGAGAACUACGCAAUUCAAUUACAGAGAAUGAGAUUAACAUUUUGGAACAAAGACUAAAUGAAGACAUCUCAGUAUCCACAUCUGGACAAGAAAUGCUAAAACAAUCGAUAGACAAGGACACAAUACUAGAGACCACCAAGCACAUAAGAUAACAAACAUCUAUACUGACUUUAAAUGUGUGAAAAAUAUUCUGCUUUGGUACAAUCACUUUCGAAACAUUUUACAAAAGCGAAAGAAAGUCACGAGAUGGCAAUGAACAGAAUCAGCAAAGCCUUGAAGGCUUCUAAGUCUUCCCUAAUGGAGUCUAAACACUCUCUGACAAUGGAAAUAGAGAUAGACGCACCAUUGAAGGAUUUCUCAAAAGCAGAUGAGUUUUCAGAUGCUGUGUUAAUAGUCGAGGGACAAGAUUUACAUGUACAUAGAGUUUAUCUCGCAGAAUGGUCACCUGUCUUUAAACAGAUGUUCUUAAAAACUACCCCCAAGAAGAAGAAAUAUCGCCUCGCUCUCACUGACAAAAACUUGGAGCAGAUUAGGGAGUUACUACAUUGCAUAUAUUCUUCACAGAAGCCUGUCACAGAUGAAAAUGUAUACUACCUUCUCCAGCUUGCUGAGGAGUAUCAAAUAAUAAAAGUGACAGAACGAUGUGAGUUAUUCCUAAUCUCCCAGGAUCCCUCAGUAGAGUCACUCGUUCUCGCUCAGCGUUAUAACCUCAGCAAUCUACGUCAACAUGCAAUCAAUCUCCUUAAACACAGAGUCGUCGGCCAACUAGAGAACCUCCCCGGGUACCCAAUGUUGACCCCCGAAACCCUGGCUCAUCUAUAUAAAGCCAGAGCCGAACACUUGGAAGAUACUCUGAGAAAGAUCUACAACUACUGUACAGAUGGUGCUGAGAAAUGCCAGAUACAUAGAGAAUUCAAUUAUUUCCCAAAUGGUUGCCAUGGCUGUGUGCAACUAGCCGUGAAUAAGGUCGCUGAUGAGUGUACAAAUUGCAUAAAAGAUGUGAUCAAUCCAUCUAUGAUUAUCUACAAAGGAACAAACUUCAAAAUGCCAAGAUCUCCAAGUAUGGAAUCGAACUCUUGAAAUUAUCACCAAAAUUCAAGGUUUAUCUUUGUAAUUUCAAAUAGACUAUAAGUAAUCAUAUUCUAUAUGCAGUACAAACAUCCAUAUCAAAAGGAAAAUAUGGAAAAGGCCAUUCCUUACAAUCAAAUCAAAUGAAUUGUUUUGUAUAACGAAUGAAAGGAAUGAAUUUUUGAAUCCUAAUUAUUCAAAUGUGUGGUUUGUGCAAUGGUUUAUUAAAUCAGACAAAAAUUAAGAAUGACAAUGUCAAAC